UGGGGAAUAUUGGACAAUGGGGGCAACCCUGAUCCAGCCAUGCCGCGUGUGUGAAGAAGGCCUUCGGGUUGUAAAGCACUUUCAGUGGGGAGGAAAGACUUUAGGUUAAUACCCUUGAGUUGUGACGUUACCCACAGAAGAAGCACCGGCAAACUCCGUGCCAGCAGCCGCGGUAAUACGGAGGGUGCGAGCGUUAAUCGGAAUUACUGGGCGUAAAGCGCACGUAGGCGGCUACAUAAGUUGGAGGUGAAAUCCCCGGGCUCAACCUGGGAACUGCUUUCAAAACUGUGUGGCUAGAGUACGGUAGAGGUGAGUGGAAUUUCCUGUGUAGCGGUGAAAUGCGUAGAUAUAGGAAGGAACAUCAGUGGCGAAGGCGACUCACUGGACUGAUACUGACGCUGAGGUGCGAAAGCGUGGGGAGCAAACAGG
rnacentral:rRNA from 1 species